UUGCCAUCGUACGUUCACCAUAGUAAUCGUCUUGUUACUAAGACCUUAUCAGUCCAUCUGAGAAUUUCUACAAGAACCUCUUCAUAGGACAUAUCGACCUGUACUUGUACCUGCACCUCAUCACGAGGAAUAACAUGAGAAGGAUCAGGGUGGUACUUCUUGAGCAUCAAGACAUGAAAGACAUCAUGUAAACCCGCAAAUUCCCGAGAUAGAGUGUGGCGGUAAGCAACGGGUACAAUGGACUUGAUGAUAGGAAAAGGUCCCACAUAUCGAGGGCUCAGCUUCCCUUUCUUUCCAAAUCACAUCUUGCCUUUGUAGGGAUAGACUUUUAGAAAGACUU
rnacentral:lncRNA from 1 species